UGGGGAAUCUUGCACAAUGGAGGCAACUCUGAUGCAGCGACGCCGCGUGAGCGAUGAAGCCCUUCGGGUGUGAAAGCUCUUUCGACGGGAAAGAUUAUGACGGUACCCGGAGAAGAAGCUGCGGCUAACUACGUGCCAGCAGCCGCGGUAAUACGUAGGCAGCGAGCGUUGUUCGGAAUUACUGGGCGUAAAGAGUGUGUAGGCGGUCUGAAUAGUCUGCUGUGAAAGCGCCUGGCUUAACCGGGCGAGGUCGGCGGAAACUCUCAGACUGGAGGCCGGUAGAGGGG
rnacentral:rRNA from 1 species